rnacentral:sRNA from 1 species
GACAACAUGAGCAAUAUAUUCUGACGAUC